GAUAAACGCUGGCGGCAUUCCUAAUACAUGCAAGUCGAACGCACGUAGCAAUACGUGAGUGGCGAACGGGUGAGUAACACGUAAGCAACCUAUCCCAAAGACGAGGAUAACGUCUGGAAACGGACGCUAAAACUGGAUAGGACAAGGGGACAGAAGUUUUCUUGUUUAAAGGCGCUGAAAGGCGCUGCUAUGGGAGGGGCUUGCGGCGCAUUAGAUAGUUGGGGAGGUAACGGCUCACCAAGUCAACGAUGCGUAGCUGAGCUGAGAGGCUGAACAGCCACACUGGGACUGAGACACGGCCCAGACUCCUACGGGAGGCAGCAGUAGGGAAUUUUCGGCAAUGGGCGGAAGCCUGACCGAGCAAUGCCGCGUGAACGAAGAAGGUCUUCGGAUUGUAAAGUUCUGUUAUUCGGAAAGAAAGGUAAAGUCAGGAAAUGGGCUAUAUUUGACGGUACCGAAUGAGGAAGCCCCGGCUAACUACGUGCCAGCAGCCGCGGUAAUACGUAGGGGGCAAGCGUUAUCCGGAAUUAUUGGGCGUAAAGCGUGCGUAGGCGGUUUAUUAAGUCAGUUGUAAAAGAUCACAGCCCAACUGUGUAGGGCAAUUGAAGCUGGUAGACUUGAGUACGGUAGAGGUAAGUGGAAUUC
rnacentral:rRNA from 1 species